rnacentral:rRNA from 1 species
AAUAUUGCACAAUGGGCGCAAGCCUGAUGCAGCAACGCCGCGUGCGCGACGAAGGCCUUCGGGUCGUAAAGCGCUUUUCGGGGAGAUGAACAUCCAUGGGGCUAAUACCCCCGUGGACUGACCGUAUCGGGAGAAGAAGCCCCGGCUAACUCCGUGCCAGCAGCCGCGGUAAUACGGGGGGGGCAAGCGUUGUUCGGAAUUACUGGGCGUAAAGGGUCCGUAGGCGGCCAACUAAGUCAGACGUGAAAUCCCCCGGCUUAACCGGGGAACUGCGUCUGAUACUGGUUGGCUUGAGUGCAGGAGAGGAACGCGGAAUUCCAGGUGUAGCGGUGAAAUGCGUAGAUAUCUGGAGGAACACCGGUGUCGAAGGCGGCGUUCUGGACUGUAACUGACGCUGAGGGACGAAAGCCAGGGGAGCAAACGGG